rnacentral:rRNA from 1 species
AAGCUCGUAGUUGAAUUUCGGGGUUAGUAGGUUGGUCAUGCCUCUGGUAUGUACUGGUCUCACUGAUUCCUCCUUCCUGAUGAACCGUAAUGCCAUUAAUUUGGUGUUGCGGGGAAUUUGGACUGUUACUUUGAAAAAAUUAGAGUGUUUAAAGCAAGCUAACGCUUGAAUACAUUAGCAUGGAAUAAUGAAAUAGGACGUUCGAUCCUAUUUUGUUGGUUUCUAGGAUUGACGUAAUGAUUAAUAGGGAUAGUUGGGGGCAUUAGUAUUCAAUUGUCAGAGGUGAAAUUCUUGGAUUUAUUGAAGACUAACUACUGCGAAAGCAUUUGCCAAGGAUGUUUUCAUUAAUCAAGAACGAAAGUUAGGGGAUCGAAGACGAUCAGAUACCGUCGUAGUCUUAACCAUAAACUUUGCCGACUAGGGAUCGGAUGAUGUUAAUUUUUUAAUGACUCAUUCGGCGCCUUACGGGAAACCAAAGUGUUUGGGUUCCGGGGGGAGUAUGGUCGCAAGGCUGAAACUUAAAGGAAUUGACGGAAGGGCACCACCAGGCGUGGAGCCUGCGGCUUAAUUUGACUCAACACGGGGAAACUCACCAGGUCCAGAUAAAAUAAGGAUUGACAGAUUGAGAGCUCUUUCUUGAUUCUAUGGGUG